rnacentral:rRNA from 1 species
AGAGUUUGAUCCUGGCUCAGGAUGAACGCUGGCGGCGUGCCUAACACAUGCAAGUCGAACGAAGCUAUUUCGGUAGCUUAGUGGCGCACGGGUGAGUAACACGUAGCUGAUCUGCCCUCGAGUGCGGGAUAACGUCUGGAAACAGACGCUAAGACCGCAUAAGCUCCCGCGGACUAGGGAAGUGGGAGAAAAGGUUUACCGCUCGAGGAAGAGGCUGCGGCCCAUCAGGUAGUUGGCGGGGUAACGGCCCACCAAGCCGACGACGGGUAGGGGGUCUGAGAGGAUGAUCCCCCACACUGGGACUGAGACACGGCCCAGACUCCUACGGGAGGCAGCAGUGAGGGAUAUUGCACAAUGGGGGCAACCCUGAUGCAGCGACGCCGCGUGGGUGAUGAAGGUCUUCGGAUCGUAAAACCCUUUUCCCCGUGACGAGACAGGACGGUAGCGGGGGAAUAAGCCUCGGCUAACUACGUGCCAGCAGCCGCGGUAAAACGUAGGAGGCGAGCGUUAUCCGGAGUUACUGGGCGUAAAGCGCGCGCAGGCGGUUGAGUAAGUGACUUGUGAAAAUGCCCGGCUAAACUGGGCGAGGUCAGGUCAGACUGCUUGGCUGGAGGGUGGUAGAGGAGCGCGGAAUUCGGGGUGUAGCGGUGAAAUGUGUAGAGAUCCCGAGGAACACCAGUGGUGCAAACGGCGCUCUGGGCCACUACUGACGCUGAGGCGCGAAAGCGUGGGGAGCGAACGGGAUUAGAUACCCUGGUAGUCC